GUAUUAGAAUGUGGGCUUCCA
rnacentral:siRNA from 1 species